rnacentral:rRNA from 1 species
UACGUAGGGAGUAAGCGUUGUCCGGAUUCACUGGGUGUAAAGGGUGCGCAGGCGGAUUUGUAAGUCAGAAGUGAAAUCUCACGGCUUAACCGUGAAACUGCUUUUGAUACUGCAGAUCUUGAGUUUGGGAGAGGUUGAUGGAAUUCCAGGUGUAGCGGUGAAAUGCGUAGAUAUCUGGAAGAACACCAGUGGCGAAGGCGGUCAACUGGCCCAUAACUGACGCUCAGGCACGAAAGCGUGGGUAGCGAACAGG